rnacentral:rRNA from 1 species
CGUCAAGUCCUCAUGGCCCUUAUGUCCAGGGCUACACACGUGCUACAAUGGCCGGUACAAAGGGCUGCAAGACCGUGAGGUUGAGCGAAUCCCAAGAAAGCCCGGUCUUCAGUUCGGAUUGGAGUCUGCAACUCGACUCCAUGAAGUUGGAAUCGCUAGUAAUCGCGGAUCAGCAUGCCGCGGUGAAUACGUUCCCGGGCCUU